AAUGUGAGAUAAACUCCCCAUAGGCAACCUUCUAAGAACUUCAGCAAUAAUAUUAGCUUUACCUGGAUGAUAGUGCAAACUCAUGUCAUAAUUCGUAACCAAUUCAAGCCACUGCUAGUGUCUAAGAUUCAACUCCUGUGUAAACACAUACUGCAAGCUAAUAUACUAAAAAUAACUACCCAAAUGCAAUCCAUAAAGAUAAUGGAUCCAAAUCAUAAAAGUAAGAACCACGACAACCAACUUUAGAUCAUGAGUUAUUCUAUUUGUUUCAUUAGAAGAAGACAAAUUAAAUCCAAAUACUUCUUUCUAUAAUAGCGAAACACUCCUUUUCCCUUUCCAUUCUUUCCUCCUCUGUAACCUCUCUCCCGUCUUCGUCGAGCACCACCAGUACUAGGGUUCCAACACUGGUGAUAUCGAUGAAUUUUUUGACCUUAAUAAACCCAUCUCCGCCAUACAACACCUCUCUCCUCCUCCCUCAUUGGUCACUCAAGUUGCAUCUCGCCAUCCUACCCGAAGCCUGCAUCGAUGUCCUUUGAGGAAUGAUAUGGAGAUGAGUUAGCAGGUAUUCCUUAAUCUUUGCCCUCUAAUUCCUCUUUAAUUACAGAAUCUUCCACUGAGACUUCCAAUUAGAUCCCAAUUUGAAACCUUCACUGGAGCUUGACAUUGGAAGACCAAGAUUGAUAUCGGAUUAUACUAUUAAGAUAUUUUGUGCUUCUUUCUUGAUUAUGUUUGUAAUAAAUUAAUUUACUAGGAAGAGGGAGAAUGAGAACUAAGCAUUAGCUUGGGCGAGUCAAUUCAUAAUGAGGGAUUUAAUAUUUGAUAAGAAUUUUAGUUUAUUGGGUGUUGGGGAAACGGAAGAUUCUCCAUUGUUGCUAAAAGAAGGACAAAAUAUGUUCAAAUUUUAUUCUAGUGGUAGGAGAUUUUGUCAGGGUUUGCUGGCUAUAAUGGAGUUAAAAAGUCAAAAGAUUUGAUAUCGAGGUUGUAUAAUAUAGUGGUGCCUUUUAAAGACGAGAAAGGGUUUGAGGUCUAUAUAAAUGAUGAUGCAAUGGAUCAAGUGGUUGUUGAUGUGGCUAAGAAGAAAUUAGCCGAGACAAUGCAAAAAGAGAUUACAGAUAUCCAGAGAUUUGCAUCAGUCAUUUACUCUAUACUUUCUCUGAUUUAAAAUGAGAGUUCAUUUUCAUGGAGUACACUAGUCGGCUGGGUUGGAAAGUGGGUUAAAGGGAAAUGCCACUUAUAGUAGAUCCCAGGCUCUAUAAGACAACUAAGUCUUAUAUAUUUUGGGUCUCUCCAAGGAGAGGUCUUCCCACAGCCUUUAAAAUCUUUACAAGUUAGUGUUUUAUGAUUGAAUUUGCAUACUUGUUUAGGUAUUCUUGAAGCUGCUUACUGAUGUUGAUUCACCGCAGAAGCAAAUAGAACAUGCCACGAUACUACUUUGGUUUAGUAAAAUUUUGUGCUUGUACUAUUACUUCUUUCCCUUAAUCUACACAUACUUUCUUUGUUAAUAUAAGGACUUUAUGUCAGAACCUUAAAAACUCAGAGUCUGUCAAAACUAGAGUAGCUGAAUUAUUGGUAUUAUUUUCAGUCAGAGACUCCUCGAGUUGAAAAGAACGCCAUGCUAAGAUAUACUUAUUAUGUUUCAAUGUUUUCUAUCAAGCUAAAGAUAGAGGGUUCAUCUGUUUUGUAUGACUAAUGGGUGAUGAUCAUUUGAUUUCUCUAUACUCAUGUUACAAGAAUAAUAUACUGGGAUCCAAAACCAAAAAAUAUCCAACUUCAGGUUGAUGGGCAUGUCGUACUAACUGACUUUGAUCUUUUUUCUCAAGACAUCCUGUAAACCUCAAGUACGCUUCAGUUUUGACAGUUUUCUUUACUAUUGAUCUUUGUUUCAUGCACUUCUACUUCUGUAAACUCUUUUGUUUGGGAUUCAGGUAUCUUGCUUUAUGAGAUGAUCUAUGGGCGUGCACUAUUUAGAAGAAAAAACAGGCACAAGAUAUUUUCCAACAUCCUAAACAAGGACCUCACUUUCCCUAGUAGCAUGCUGCUCGCUAGUAGAAGGUCACGGUGAGGAUGGUGAAGAUACAUUGUCAGAUGGCAAUCCUGCCUCUUUAAGGAUUAAUGGCAUUGAUGGCGCUUCGAAGGAUAUAAACAUUUUCUCACAUCAAGUUCCGACAUGGCUUUUGGAUUCUACACCAGAUGAAUUUGUUGUGGAAAGAUGCCAAAUCAAGUUAGUUUGGGGUUGUGGCAUUAUUAUUGAUUGAUUGAUAUAAAGUUGCCUUUUGUAUGCUUAUCAAUAUCAAACUUCUGAUGCUCUCCAAUAUAUUUCAAAUGUAGGAAGCAGUCAGGAAAUUGUGUUAACAUAAUUCAAUAUAGAUUUCAAUUUGUAUUUGAAUUA